rnacentral:rRNA from 1 species
GACGAACGCUGGCGGCGUGCCUAAUACAUGCAAGUCGAACGCAGUGGGGACGGGUGAGUAACACGUUGGUCACCUCCCCUCCGCGGGGAUAACACUUGGAAACCGGUGCUAUACCGAUACUGAUGGAUGGACCCGCGGUGCAUUAGCUAGUUGGUGGGGUAACGGCUCACCAAGGCCACGAUCCAUAGCCGGCCUGUGAGGGUGAGCGGCGAAACGGGAACAGAGACACGGCCCAGGCUCCUACGGGAGGCAGCAGUAGGGAAUCUUCGGCAAUGGGCGAAAGUCGGACGGGGAAACGCCGCGCGGGUGGAGAAGGUUUUCGGAUUGUAAAACUCUGUUGUUAGGGAAGCGGUAUCUAACCAGAAAGCCACGGCUAACUACGUGCCAGCAGCCGCGGUAAUAC